rnacentral:rRNA from 1 species
CGCAGCCGCGGUAAUUCCAGCUCCAAUAGCGUAUAUUAAAGUUGUUGCAGUUAAAAAGCUCGUAGUUGAACCUCGGGAUCAAUGGAUCGGUCAUGCCAUCGGUAUGUACUGGUCUCAUUGGUUCUCACCUUCUAAGGAACCAUGAUGUCAUUCAGUUGAUGUUGUGGGGAAUUAGGACUGUUACCUUGAAAAAUUAGAGUGUUUAAAGCAGGCUAACGCUUGAAUACAUUAGCAUGGAAUAAUGAAAUAGGACAUCGCAUUCUAUUUUGUUGGUUCUAGGAUCGAUGUAAUGAUUAAUAGGGAUAGUUGGGGCAUUAGUAUUCAAUUGUCAGAGGUGAAAUUCUUGGAUUUAUUGAAG